CAAUGUGUUGGUUGUGCUGCGAAGUAGGAGCGUCCCUGUGCUGUGAGGAGCUGUCCAUGAGCAAUCACUGAGAAGGUUAUUCUGCUGCUGAGAGAGCAGCAGCAUGUUGGCUGAACACAUUCCAAGUCCUUUCUCCUCCUCUUUAGAGUACACUUGCCAUUCCUUCUAUUGCUUCUAAAAAGAACAAUUUGCAGGCAUUUAGACCCAUUCAAAGGCUCAAGUAUCUGAACCAGUACUCGGGGCUUGGAGUAAAGAUGGGUAUAAUAUGAUGCAUGAAUCAGGCCAGUUAGUUUUCUAGAAAUUAUACUGCUAGCAAAGAAACCAUGCCUGUUUCUUUGUUCCUUCUGGAAAGGAGAAAAGGAAGGCGAGCUAUAAAAAGAAACUGGUUUUGAAACGAGGAAUGAAGUUGAGAUGAGAAUUGUCUAAAUUCUCAAUUUGAUGAUCACAGACAGAAAAUCCAUUAGGUACAUCUGUAAAGUGCUCAUUUUAGUGCCUUAAGUAACUGAAAUUAGUAUUUUCACAUCAUAGACACUUCAUUAUUAUAUAGUAUCAAAUGCUUUGAGCACUAAUCUGUUCAGUUUUGUGUUUUUAUUAACUCUCUGACUAUAGGAGCUCCAGAAAGCUCCUCAAGAGUGUGACACGGUUGAGGGUCAUAUUUUGCUUCUACAUGCUCUCAGACAAACUCAUUACACACAAGGGAAUAAGAAUUCACUCUUCUGAAAAAUAGUUCAAAAAGGUAAUGUUAUGUGUAUUUUGGUAAUUCAUGCUGAUUGAGACUAUAUGUGUAUGUGUAUAUUGAUAAUUCAUACAUUAUGAGUAUUCUGUGAGGUGUGUAUGUGUAUAUUGAUAAU